rnacentral:rRNA from 1 species
AUGGCCAAUUUCCAGAUAACUCCCCGCGCAGCGUUCGUGGAGAGCAAUGAGCUCAACUUCCGCAGCCUGUACCUUUUCCACACUCCCCUUGGUUCAAACCAGAAUCAGUCAGGCAUAAUAGACUCGAAUGUUACUACCGGUUUGGGUGCGGCAGUCGUUAACAACUGGCCGAUAUGUGAUGGCCCUAGCCCCGGCGCCACCGUUGUUGCGCGUGCACAAGGCCUGCAUAUCUAUGCCGGUAACUGGCAGAAUACUUUCAGCAUAACAUUCGAGGUUGAAAGGUUUAAGGGAUCAACGCUUCAAGUGAUGGGGAUAUCCGUCGAAGAAGGUGAGUGGGCUAUUGUUGGUGGGACAGGACAGUUCGCUAUGGCGACCGGUGUCAUCUAUAAAAAGUUCCAUGAACAAAGGAGCGAAGGUAACAUCAUAGAACUCACUAUCCAUGGAUUUUGUCCCAUGGUUCACAGGUGA